AUACGUAGGGGGCGAGCGUUGUCCGGAAUGAUUGGGCGUAAAGGGCGCGUAGGCGGCGCGGUAAGUCUGGAGUGAAAGUCCUGCUUUCAAGGUGGGAAUUGCUUUGGAUACUGCCGCGCUUGAGUGCAGGAGAGGUUAUCGGAAUUCCCGGUGUAGCGGUGAAAUGCGUAGAGAUCGGGAGGAAACCCAGUGGCGAAGGCGGGUAACUGGGCUGCAACUGACGCUGAGGGGCGAAAGUGUGGGGAGCAAAAAGGAGUAGAUACCCUGGUAGUCCACACUGUAAACGAUGAAUGCUAGGUGAAAGAGGUAUCGACACCGUUUGCGCCGUAGUCAACACAACAAGAAUUCCUCCUGGUGAAUAUGGCCGCAAGGUUGAAACUCAAAUGAAUUAACGGGG
rnacentral:rRNA from 1 species